GGCUACACAUGCAGUCGAUUAGUACACAAGGGAGCUUGCUCCUGAGGUGAANAGCGGCGGACGGGUGAGUAAUGCCUAGGUAUCUGCCCAGUCGAGGGGGAUAACAGUUGGAAACGACUGCUAAUACCGCAUACGCCCUACGGGGGAAAGGAGGGGACCUUCGGGCCUUUCGCGAUUGGAUGAACCUAGGUGGGAUUAGCUAGUAGUGGGGUAAUGGCUCACCUAGCAACGAUCCCUAGCUGGUCUGAGAGGAUGAUCAGCCACACUGGAACUGAGACACGGUCCAGACUCCUACGGGAGGCAGCAGUGGGGAAUAUUGCACAAUGGGCGAAAGCCUGAUGCAGCCAUGCCGCGUGUAUGAAGAAGGCCUUCGGGUUGUAAAGUACUUUCAGCGAGGAGGAAAGCUCAAUUGUUAAUAGCGAUUGGGUGUGACGUUACUCGCAGAAGAAGCACCGGCUAACUUCGUGCCAGCAGCCGCGGUAAUACGAGGGGUGCAAGCGUUAAUCGGAAUUACUGGGCGUAAAGCGUACGCAGGCGGUUUGUUAAGCGAGAUGUGAAAGCCCCGGGCUCAACCUGGGAACUGCAUGUUCGAACUGGCAAACUAGAGUCUUGUAAGGGGGGUAGAAUUUCAGGUGUACGGUGAAAUGCGUAAGAUCUGAAGGAUACCGGUGGCGAAGGCGCC
rnacentral:rRNA from 1 species